GCCUCUUUAGCUCAGUGGUAGAGCGCGUCACUCGUAGUCUUAAUACGAUCGUAUGAAAUGACGAGGUCAUCGGUUCAAUCCCGAUAGGAGGCA
rfam:Penicillium camemberti str. FM013